UACGUAGGGGGCGAGCGUUGUCCGGAUUCAUUGGGCGUAAAGAGCUCGUAGGCGGUUUGGCAAGUCGGGUGUGAAAACUCCAGGCUCAACCUGGAGAUGCCAUCUGAUACUGCCAUGACUUGAGUCUGGUAGGGGAGCACGGAAUUCCUGGUGUAGCGGUGAAAUGCGCAGAUAUCAGGAGGAACACCGGUGGCGAAGGCGGGUCUCUGGGCCGAUACUGACGCUGAGGAGCGAAAGCGUGGGGAGCGAACAGG
rnacentral:rRNA from 1 species